UACGGAGGGUGCAACCGUUGCUCGGAAUCAUUGGGCGUAAAGCGCACGUAGGCGGCUCGUUAAGUCGGAUGUGAAAGCCCUGGGCUCAACCCAGGAAGUGCAUACGAAACUGGCGAGCUUGAGUAUGGAAGAGGGUCGCGGAAUUCCCGGUGUAGAGGUGAAAUUCGCAGAUAUCAGGAGGAACACCGGUGGCGAAGGCGGGUCUCUGGGCAGUAACUGACGCUGAGGAGCGAAAGCGUGGGGAGCGAACAGG
rnacentral:rRNA from 1 species